rnacentral:rRNA from 1 species
AUACGGAGGAUCCGAGCGUUAUCCGGAUUUAUUGGGUUUAAAGGGUGCGCAGGCGGCCAUUUAAGUCAGCGGUUAAAUCGUGGGGCUCAACCCCAUUCUGCCGUUGAUACUGGGUGGCUUGAUUGCGGUCGAGGUUGGCGGAAUUCGUUGUGUAGCGGUGAAAUGCAUAGAUAUGACGAAGAACACCGAUUGCGUAGGCAGCUGACCAGACCGCAAAUGACGCUCAUGCACGAAAGUGCGGGGAUCGAACAGGAUUAGAUACCCUGGUAGUCCGCACAGUAAACGAUGAAUACUUGUUUUCGGCGAUAUAAUGUCGGAGGCAAAGCGAAAGCGAUAAGUAUUCCACCUGGGGAGUGCGCCGGCAACGGUGAAACUCAAAGGAAUUGGCGGGG